UGUUUUCCGGGUUCACAAUCAACCCAGUUGGUUUUCCCAAAGGCUCACCAACCACAACCUUACAAUGAUUGUUUUCCGGGUUCACAAUCAACCCAGUUGGUUUUCCCAAAGGCUCACCAACCACAACCUUACAACGUUGGUUUUUUUUCCUUUGGCUCACCAACAAACCUUAACCCCUUGAUUCAAUCCCUUGAUUGAAUCAAGUUACAAGAUAUUAGAACAAGA
rnacentral:lncRNA from 1 species